UGGGGAAUAUUGGACAAUGGGCGAAAGCCUGAUCCAGCCAUGCCGCGUGAGUGAUGAAGGCCCUAGGGUUGUAAAGCUCUUUCGGCGGGGACGAUAAUGACGGUGCCCGCAGAAGAAGCCCCGGCUAACUUCGUGCCAGCAGCCGCGGUAAUACGAAGGGGGCUAGCGUUGCUCGGAAUCACUGGGCGUAAAGGGCGCGUAGGCGGAUCUUUAAGUCGGGGGUGAAAGCCCAGGGCUCAACCCUGGAAUUGCCUUCGAUACUGAAGAUCUCGAGACCGGAAGAGGUAAGUGGAACUGCGAGUGUAGAGGUGAAAUUCGUAGAUAUUCGCAAGAACACCAGUGGCGAAGGCGGCUUACUGGUCCGGUUCUGACGCUGAGGCGCGAAAGCGUGGGGAGCAAACAGGAUUAGAUACCCUGGUAGUCCACGCCGUAAUCGAUGGAUGCUAGCCGUUGGCGAGCUUGCUCGUCAGUGGCGCAGUUAACGCUUUAAGCAUCCCGCCUGGGGAGUACGGUCGCAAGAUUAA
rnacentral:rRNA from 2 species